CUCUCCUCUUUCUCCCUUGCAGCCGCGUCCUACUCUCUCUCUCUCCUGACCUCUCUCUCCUCUUCCCUAUGCUACAACCGCAAACUAUCAUCUCCGGCCACCACCUUGCAACACCGCCUCCACCCUUCGAACCAGCACCCAAAUCCGACCAAAACCCGAACCCAGCACCAUCGUCUUCGACCUCUUCACGCGACCACCAAAAACCCCGGCACCACUGCCCUUCCUCCUCCGUCGAUUUCUGACCAUCACCUUGCCACAAUGACGUCGCUGCCUGACUUAGCAAGCAACGAGGAGCAAAACCCAGAAGUUCCGCCACCCACCGAAGCCGGACAAGCCUGCACGAGCGCCGCCGGAAUCUCUUCUUCUGUUGAGAUCGAUUCACCAUUCUCCGGCCUCGCCUGAGCAACACCACCUCCAGAAAUAGGAUCAACGUCGCGUCAAUUUCCAAAACCACCAAAUCAAGACCUCCGAUUCUGACCAGAGCCACCACCACCGUGGACGCCGCAGUGAGCGUCACCAGCUUAUCCUCUUCUUCUGGUAAGCUAGAUUUUUAUCCCUUCUUCUUAGUUGAGGCUCCUGCUUCGAUUUAGUUUGAAACCCCUAACUUCUGUUGUUCACAUUGGAUUGUAUGAGGUUUGUGGAAUAUGAGAUUUUGGAGAUUCUGGAGAAGAGAAGAUCUGCUAGGUCUAUUUGAUUGACAUCGAAGAAAGAUGGUUAAUGGUUGUGGAUUUCUGCAUUUUUGGAGUGUUGGAGAAGAGAGAAACUGCUAAUUCAGCCCAAAUGAUUUUGGAAAUUGGGAUUCGAAAGGUUGGUGAGGAUGGUGCACGACUAUGUUAGAUAGAGUCAUUGUUUGGAAAAGAAGAAUGGACUCGAGUUUGUGCACAUGGAUUUGGGCAAGUGAUCGAAAGUUGGGAACGAACUCGAAUGUGGACAAGCACUCCAUAUCCAGGUACGCCUCAAAUUCAUCUUCUGAUAACUAGAUGCAAAGUCCUAAAGGUCGCGAAUCAAUAGAACUUUAACAUAAGCAACAAUUCAAGUAGAGAUUAAGAAUUUAUCAAAAAGAAACUAUUAAUCCAUCAAUUGAAUAUCAAAACAUGUAAACACUCAUGUUAGGGCCUCAUCCUAGCCCUAGAAAAGAGGUUUAGCUAUUCAUGUUUGAAGAAAACAUAGUAGAAAUUCAUUAAAAUAUAAAGAACUUAUUAAAUGGAGAUGGAAGGUGAACAGGGCGAUGGCAGCAGCUUUGUUUGAUGAAAAUCUGAUAUUGAAUGGUAGUUCUCCAUCUUGACACAUUCUCCUUUUAUAAGAUGCAACUUUUCCUUCUUGCUUUAGGCCUUUGGAACUCCUUAAUAACUUAGCACAAAAGAAAGGUGAUGUGGCACUUCUAAAAUUCCAAGGAAACAUAUGUUGGGCUCUCAGAUGGUCCAUAAUGCUACAUCAAUUUUUCCAGAAUUUUGCUAAGUCAUUCAGGUCUUGAAAACUCGAGCUCUUGGAAACACAUCGUAGAUUCGCGCAUUGAAUGAACUGCCUGUAUUUAAACUGCCAUAUCUCCCUCUUGAAAUAUCGAAAUCACAAACCGUAAAAUUCUCCAAAAACUAAACAUUCAGGGCUUUCCGUGUAUAUAAGGCUCGUUUUCUAGUUGUCUCUGGAUCAGUACAUUUUAAUCCUCAAAGUUAGCCAUUCUGCAGAGGCUGCUUCAGUUUUUAGGAUUGCAAAGCACCUUCAAUCCUUUUCCUCUCUUUUUCCUUUUUUUUCUCAUCCUUGCUCUUCAUACCUAUAAACACACUAAACUAAGUAAAUGAACCAUAAAUAAGGAGAACUAAACAUAAAUAUCAAGAUUAAGAGGCAUAACAAAAUAGGAAAAUAUGAGCACAUCAGUCCAAGAAAGUGUUUUGUAAACCAACAGUCUGAACCCAAAAGGCUUUCCGAUUUCGGGUUGAUGAGUUAUCGGGAUGUCAUUCGUGACAUGUCGGUUUCUCAUUAGCUCGGGGUCGCAGCGCUGUGGGACCCCUCUCUCGGGUCACCACACGGUAGGUGGUAUUGGGCUUCAAGGUUCGGUACCAAACCGAACCUACCCCUAUCGACAUGAGUUAUCUUUCUCACGUGGUAUCGCCAUGUUUUCUCUCUAUUACAUGAUAUUGCCAUACUUUAUCUCUAUUAUACAAUAUCGCUAUGUUCUACCUCACCGUUACACGAUAUGGCCAUGAGUUCUCUCUAACACGCGAUAUCGCCAUAUGUCAUCUCUCUAUUAUAUGAUAUCGGCAUGAAUCUUUCUCCAACACGUGGUAUUGCCAUGUCUUCUCUAUUAUAUGACAUUUUCGUGUUUUAUCUCUAUUACAUGAUAUCGCUAUGUUUUAUUUCUCCGUUACAUGAUACGAUAUCGCCAUGGUUUCUCUCCAUUAUACAAUAUCGCCAUGUCUCAUCUCUCUCCAUUAUAUGAUUGCAUGCCACCAUGCAAAAUGAAAGGCUGUGCCAAGCUUAAUAAUAGUGAUAUCGCCAAUUACAUUCUAGCCACUAUCGGCUACAUCAUUCCAGCCACUAUCGGCUACAUUCAUUACAGCUAUUAUCGGCUUCACGCCAAAAUUAUUACUAUCGCCACAUGCAAAAAUGGGCUAACAUAGCCAAGGCUAUCCUUGCAGACACCAAGUGUAUCGAGUACACCUUAUAUCGAGCAUACCUGAUGCCAUAUGCUAGCAGACCCUGGUCUAAACCCUCUGACCUCGGUCUCGGGGGACUGGGGGACUAGUCACCCUAAGGAACAAACUCUCGCCAAACGUCCAAUGAAUGCUUGCGCGGUUUCUACUUAGAAAACAAAAUCACCACCCCAGUCAAGACUCCUCUUAGCUGGGGACUUAGGAGACUGAGGGUAAUGGUUGUACGGAAGUCACGUGCCGAGAAUGCUCACCUUGCAAUUCCGAUAUUUCUACCAUAACAAACUCCCCACCCAAGAGAACUCUUGACCGGGGACUUGGGAGAAUUAUUGGUAUAUAUACCGCCUAGGCACAAAUAUCAGAAGCACAAGACUCACUAGCCACGUGAAAUGAUGCCGAUAACGCCUUGACACUAUGUCGACACCAUAUACCAGUGGUAUCGGGUUGACCACAGCUAAUCCCACAUUGGAAAUAAAGGGGUGACAAGCUCAUCCCCACACUAUAAAUACAUGUCUCUCCACUCAUUCAAGGUAAGCCACCACUCUCCAUUUACUCCUACAUAGUCUACAUUCUUACAUGUAUCUGACUUAGAGAUCGGAGGGUCGAAGGCCGGCUAGCCCGGUCUUCCCUCUGACCUUUGUUCAUGGUUGGCAGGUACGAAUAUCGGAGGUGGAAGCUCUCACGACAACCCUGUUUCUACCACUGAAACACUUUCAAUUGCAUACACUAUGCCAAAAACUGCAUCACACUACACUUUUUAGACAACGAAAAAAAAAUUUCCGUUGUGUGAUCAUUGAAACUGCUUCACACAACAGGUUUAAUGAGAUUGGCGUUGUAUAAGGAGGU